AUAAAUGAUGAACAACGGGUCUGCUGAGACCUGCUCGACGGGGCGGGUCUAUGAGGAACCGUUGGAGCACUGAUA
rnacentral:snoRNA from 1 species